GUAGGUAGCUCAACAAUGGGUAGAGCAGUAUAAUUUUUUAAAUUAGAAGUUUGCAGGUUCGAGUCCUGCUAUCUACG
rnacentral:tRNA from 1 species